GGUUUCCUGCAUGUCUUUUAAGUAUUUGCUUUUAGUUUCCGUGUUUUGGUGUUUUGUUUGUUCGUUUUUUUUUUUUUUUUGUUUUUACGACAAUGCCUUCUAGGGGAACAGUGUCGCUGGGCUGGGCGGUGGAGAGACACCUUUGGCACCAUCGUGCGAUCUCAUGCACCCUACCAGUGAUCAACCCUUUGAGUCUGGCUUAGCUCAGGCAGAAAUUGUAGUCUGCAAAAGAAACUGAGAAGAAGAGGGCAAGGAGAGUGUGGCAUCCCAAGACAUAAAGACUCAAAUCAAUGAGAGCAAGCAACUCUGUCAAAUUUCACCAGAAGUGAGGACUAAAUAUUGACUACCGAAUUUUGCAAGAAAGAUGAAGCAUUGGAAAGCACUGCAUAGCUCCAUGUUAUCAAUCAAUUAAUGUCUUCAGUCCUUUAAUGUCCUCUGGACAGCUGGGAUGCUUGGGAGAAGACUGUUGACAAGUCUUGUACGUGUGGAAGACACCAUUUUACUUACUUUCCCUUUAUUAUGGAAGGAACACAAGCCUAUCUUACAAAAAGAUACAUAGGACCCCGGA
rnacentral:lncRNA from 10 species